AAUGGGUCAGCGACUUAUAUUCUGUAGCAAGGUUAACCGAAUAGGGGAGCCGAAGGGAAACCGAGUCUUAACUGGGCGUUAAGUUGCAGGGUAUAGACCCGAAACCCGGUGAUCUAGCCAUGGGCAGGUUGAAGGUUGGGUAACACUAACUGGAGGACCGAACCGACUAAUGUUGAAAAAUUAGCGGAUGACUUGUGGCUGGGGGUGAAAGGCCAAUCAAACCGGGAGAUAGCUGGUUCUCCCCGAAAGCUAUUUAGGUAGCGCCUCGUGAAUUCAUCUCCGGGGGUAGAGCACUGUUUCGGCAAGGGGGUCAUCCCGACUUACCAACCCGAUGCAAACUGCGAAUACCGGAGAAUGUUAUCACGGGAGACACACGGCGGGUGCUAACGUCCGUCGUGAAGAGGGAAACAACCCAGACCGCCAGCUAAGGUCCCAAAGUCAUGGUUAAGUGGGAAACGAUGUGGGAAGGCCCAGACAGCCAGGAUGUUGGCUUAGAAGCAGCCAUCAUUUAAAGAAAGCGUAAUAGCUCACUGGUCGAGUCGGCCUGCGCGGAAGAUGUAACGGGGCUAAACCAUGCACCGAAGCUGCGGCAGCGACACUGUGUGUUGUUGGGUAGGGGAGCGUUCUGUAAGCCUGUGAAGGUGUGCUGUGAGGCAUGCUGGAGGUAUCAGAAGUGCGAAUGCUGACAUAAGUAACGAUAAAGCGGGUGAAAAGCCCGCUCGCCGGAAGACCAAGGGUUCCUGUCCAACGUUAAUCGGGGCAGGGUGAGUCGACCCCUAAGGCGAGGCCGAAAGGCGUAGUCGAUGGGAAACAGGUUAAUAUUCCUGUACUUGGUGUUACUGCGAAGGGGGGACGGAGAAGGCUAUGUUGGCCGGGCGACGGUUGUCCCGGUUUAAGCGUGUAGGCUGGUUUUCCAGGCAAAUCCGGAAAAUCAAGGCUGAGGCGUGAUGACGAGGCACUACGGUGCUGAAGCAACAAAUGCCCUGCUUCCAGGAAAAGCCUCUAAGCAUCAGGUAACAUCAAAUCGUACCCCAAACCGACACAGGUGGUCAGGUAGAGAAUACCAAGGCGCUUGAGAGAACUCGGGUGAAGGAACUAGGCAAAAUGGUGCCGUAACUUCGGGAGAAGGCACGCUGAUAUGUAGGUGAAGUCCCUCGCGGAUGGAGCUGAAAUCAGUCGAAGAUACCAGCUGGCUGCAACUGUUUAUUAAAAACACAGCACUGUGCAAACACGAAAGUGGACGUAUACGGUGUGACGCCUGCCCGGUGCCGGAAGGUUAAUUGAUGGGGUCAGCGCAAGCGAAGCUCUUGAUCGAAGCCCCGGUAAACGGCGGCCGUAACUAUAACGGUCCUAAGGUAGCGAAAUUCCUUGUCGGGUAAGUUCCGACCUGCACGAAUGGCGUAAUGAUGGCCAGGCUGUCUCCACCCGAGACUCAGUGAAAUUGAACUCGCUGUGAAGAUGCAGUGUACCCGCGGCAAGACGGAAAGACCCCGUGAACCUUUACUAUAGCUUGACACUGAACAUUGAGCCUUGAUGUGUAGGAUAGGUGGGAGGCUUUGAAGUGUGGACGCCAGUCUGCAUGGAGCCGACCUUGAAAUACCACCCUUUAAUGUUUGAUGUUCUAACGUGGACCCGUGAUCCGGGUUGCGGACAGUGUCUGGUGGGUAGUUUGACUGGGGCGGUCUCCUCCUAAAGAGUAACGGAGGAGCACGAAGGUUGGCUAAUCCUGGUCGGACAUCAGGAGGUUAGUGCAAUGGCAUAAGCCAGCUUGACUGCGAGCGUGACGGCGCGAGCAGGUGCGAAAGCAGGUCAUAGUGAUCCGGUGGUUCUGAAUGGAAGGGCCAUCGCUCAACGGAUAAAAGGUACUCCGGGGAUAACAGGCUGAUACCGCCCAAGAGUUCAUAUCGACGGCGGUGUUUGGCACCUCGAUGUCGGCUCAUCACAUCCUGGGGCUGAAGUAGGUCCCAAGGGUAUGGCUGUUCGCCAUUUAAAGUGGUACGCGAGCUGGGUUUAGAACGUCGUGAGACAGUU
rnacentral:rRNA from 1 species